GUGAAUCAUCGAAUCUUUGAACGCACAUUGCGCCCCCUGGUAUUCCGGGGGGCACACCUGUUCGAGCGCCAUUUCAACCCUCAAGCCCCGCUUGGUGAUGGGCCCCGCCUGCGGGCGGGCCCGAAACUCGUGGGCGUCGUCGUUCGGCUCCAAGCGUAGCAAAACCCUCGCUUGGGUGCCCGGACGGCGGCUGCCCGGAACGAAUUUUUACAAGGUUGGCCUCGGAUCAGGUGGGGAUACCCGCUGAACUUAAGCAUAUCAAUAAGCGGAGGA
rnacentral:misc_RNA from 1 species